rnacentral:rRNA from 1 species
UACGUAGGGUGCAAGCGUUGUCCGGAAUUAUUGGGCGUAAAGAGCUCGUAGGCGGUUUGUCGCGUCUGCUGUGAAAACUCGGGGCUUAACCCCGGGCCUGCAGUGGGUACGGGCAGACUAGAGUGCGGUAGGGGAGACUGGAAUUCCUGGUGUAGCGGUGAAAUGCGCAGAUAUCGAGAGGAACACCUGCGGCGAAGGCGGGUUGCUGGGCUGACACUGACGCUGACAGCGCGAAAGCUAGGGGAGCGAAUGGG